UACGUAGGUGGCAAGCGUUGUCCGGAUUUACUGGGCGUAAAGAGCGCGCAGGCGGUCGGAUAAGUCGAAUGUGAAAGCCCCUGGCUCAACCAGGGAGGGUCAUUCGAUACUGUUCGACUCGAAGGCAGGAGAGGGAAGUGGAAUUCCGGGUGUAGUGGUGAAAUGCAUUGAGAUCGGAAAGAACACCAACGGCGAAAGCACUCUGCUGGGCCGACACUGACACUGAGAGACGAAAGCUAGGGGAGCAAAUGGG
rnacentral:rRNA from 1 species